rnacentral:rRNA from 1 species
UCAGACGUGAGUACCCGCUGAACUUAAGCAUAUCAGUAAGCGGAGGAAAAGAAACUAACAAGGAUUCCCGUAGUAACGGCGAGUGAAC